rnacentral:rRNA from 1 species
GAGGCGGCUUCGACAGUACUGACGCUAGGCCCGAAAGCUGGGAGCAACAGAAUAGAACCUGGUAGUCACCCGUAAACGAUGAAUCUAGGUGUAGGGGUAUCACUCCUCUGUGCCGCAGUAACACAUAAGUAUUCCACUGGGAGUACGCCGCAAGGUGAAACUCAAAGGAAUUGACGGGGCCGCACAAGCAGUGGAUAUGUGUUUAAAUCGAAGCAACGCGAAGAACCGUAGCAGGGGCUUGACAUAUAUCUGACAGUCCCAGAGAUGGGAUCUUCAUAAGGACGAGAGAUACAGGUGGUGCAUGGUUGUCGUCAGCUCGUGUCGUGAGAUGUUUGGCUGGUCCGCGGCGAGCGCGACCCCUGUUGCCAGUUGCCAUCAUUCAGUUGGGAACUCUGGCGAGACUGCCGCGGACAACGCGGAGGAAGGAGGGGACGACGUCAAAUCAUCAUGCCCCCUUAUGUCCUGGGCUACACACGUAAUACAAUGGCAACGACAGAGGGCAGCCAGGCCGCGAGGCCGAGCAAAUCCCCCAAACGUUGUCCCAGUUCGGACAGCAGGCUGAAACCCGCCUGCUCGAAGUCGGAAUUGCUAGUAAUGGCAGGUCAGCAUACUGCCGUGAAUACGUUCCCGGGCCUUGUACACACCGCCCGUCACACCAUGAGAGUCUGCAAUACCCGAAGGCAGAAGCCUAACCGCAAGGAGGGCGCUGCCGAAGGUAGGGCCGAUAAUUGGGGUGAAGUCGUAACAAGGUAGCCGUAUC